GCUCUCUUCAGCAGUGCAUAUACUAAAAAUGGAACAAUACAGAGAAGAUUAGCAUGGCCCCUGCACAAGGAUGACAUGCAAAUUUGUGACACAUUCCAUAUUUAA
rnacentral:snRNA from 1 species